rnacentral:sRNA from 1 species
GCCGCCGAGCCCUGAGGACCUCGCAGAGCUUUGGGGCCACGGGUGUGUGGCUUGGACAUGGGCGUCCCAUCCCAUCUGUCCAGUGGGACUCAGAUGGAGCCCAUCCCGUGCCCUGGAUGAGGCCUGAGGGGUGGGGAGGGUUCCGUGGCUGAGGGCGGUCUCGGACACCCAUAUCCAAGGGUGACCCCACGCUUGAGUUUCUGCCACUGAGCCCCGGUCUCUCUCCAGAGUCUCAGACGCUGCUGCCGACGUGGGUCUCACACGGGCCUCACCAGCUGCCCGCAAUCCCGUCCUGAGGCGGCCCCCCAUCUUGGAGGACUAUGUCCACGUGACAUCCACGGAGGGCGUCCGGGCUUAUCUGGUGCUGCGUGCUGACCCCAUGGCCCCGGGGGUGCAGGGCUCUCUCCUCCAUGUCCCAUGGCGAGGCGGUGGCCAGCUGGACCUGCUGGGUGUGUCCUUUGCCUCCCUGAAGAAGCAGGUCGACGGCGAGGUAGGGGCUGCGGGUUUACUGGGGGCUGGUGGCGGGGCCGCCUGAGCCCUCCUGAUUCCAGCCUGUUUGCACAGCGGCGGGAGCGGCUGCUUCAGGAGGCCCAGAGGCUUUCAGACACCCUGCACAGUCUCAGGUCGGGGGAGGAGGAGGCA